UGGGGAAUUGUUCGCAAUGGGCGCAAGCCUGACGACGCAACGCCGCGUGGAGGAUGAAGGUCCUCGGAUUGUAAACUCCUGUUGCCCGGGACGAAAAGUUUCGACCUAAUACGUCGAAGUCUGACGGUACCGGGUGAGGAAGCCCCGGCUAACUCUGUGCCAGCAGCCGCGGUAAUACAGAGGGGGCAAGCGUUGUUCGGAAUUACUGGGCGUAAAGGGCGCGUAGGCGGCCUGCUAAGUCGAACGUGAAAUCCCCGGGCUCAACCCGGGAACUGCGUCCGAUACUGGUAGGCUUGAAUUCGGGAGAGGGAUGCGGAAUUCCAGGUGUAGCGGUGAAAUGCGUAGAUAUCUGGAGGAACACCGGUGGCGAAGGCGGCAUCCUGGACCGAAAUUGACGCUGAGGCGCGAAAGCCAGGGGAGCAAAC
rnacentral:rRNA from 1 species